GAAUCUUGCGCAAUGGGCGAAAGCCUGACGCAGCGACGCCGCGUGAGUGAUGAAGGCCCUAGGGUUGUAAAGCUCUGUGGAGCGGGACGAAUAAGCAAUGGCCAAUACCCAUUGUUAUGACGGUACCUCUUUAGCAAGCCCCGGCCAACUCUGUGCCAGCCGCCGCGGUAAGACAGAGGGUGCAAACGUUGUUCGGAAUUACUGGGCGUAAAGCGCGUGUAGGCUGUCGCGCAAGUCGGGUGUGAAAGCCCAGGGCUCAACCCUGGAAGUGCACUCGAAACUGCAUGACUUGAAUCUCGGAGAGGAUGGCGGAAUUCUGGGUGUAGAGGUGAAAUUCGUAGAUAUCCAGAGGAACACCGGUGGCGAAGGCGGCUAUCUGGACGAGUAUUGACGCUGAGACGCGAAAGUGUGGGGAGCAAACAGG
rnacentral:rRNA from 1 species